rnacentral:rRNA from 1 species
CUACGGGGCGCACCAGUUAGGAAUAAUCUACAAUGCGCGCAAGCGUGAUAGUUUGAGCCAGAGUGCGUUUCAAUUGAAACGCUUUUGCCAAAUGUAAAAAGUUUGGCGAAUAAGGACUGGGUAAGACGAGUGGCCAGCCGCCGCGGUAAUACUCGCGGUCCAAGUCGCAGCCAUUUUUAUUGGGUCUAAAACAUCCGUAGCUUGCUUUGUAAGUUUCUUGUGAAAUUCUAUGUCUUAAACAUGGAGCGGGCAAGAAAUACUGCAGAGCUAGAGACUGGGAGGCGUAAGAAGUACGUUCGAAGUAACGGUAAAAUGUGUUAAUCUCGAGCGGACUACCAAUUAGCGAAGGCAUCUUACGAGAACAGUUCUGACAGUAAGGGAUGAAGGCCAGGGGCGCAAAACGGAUUAGAUACCCCAGUAGUC